CAUAAAAAAGUCACGAGAUUGGUUAUGAAUCUUAAACGUACACAAAACAAUUUUUUUCCAAGUUCACUUAUGAUUCGAGCCUUUAGUGUUUGUAUUUUCACACUCUUUGGAAAUCUGGAUGGCAAAAAAUUCUCCCUCUCUCUCUCUCUUUUCUCUUUUUAAAGUAAGCAGGUUCUCAUUUAAGCCUGACUCUUGGCACGAGGCUUCAAAAGAACCUCCCCGCCUUGCCACCCCCAGUUCAUGAAACUUCUAUAUGCAGCAGCUGUCAACCUUGACAUAUUUCUUGCAGAGAAGGACCAGGGGAAAAUACUUGAUUCCGAGAUGACUACAGAUUGCUGGCUACACAGCCCUGCUCUACACUUAAAGAAAGCACUAACGAUCUGAAAAGAAAAUAAUGACACUAAAGAAGCCUGAAGAGGAAGACUGCGGUGUUGACGAUGGGUGUCUUUGACUUCAGGAGGAACAGCUGAGGCCAGAUGCCUAUGUGCUGACUUCCUGAGGAGAGUGGUUCUGAUGCCGGAUUUUAUAACCAUCACGAACUUCACUGGAAAAGAUAUGAUGGCCUGGGGAGGUAGUAAUGAGUAUGUAGACAUCUGUGCCCAGACCUCAGUGAAAUAAUGCGACAUUCAAGAACUGAUUGAAAACAAGGAAUCUUCAGAGUCCCUGAGAGCCUGCCUGCUUCAGAUCUAGCAGUAUAAAAUAAAAAGCUCAAGAGCAUUGAGGAAUCAUUGAUAGCAUCAAGAAGGAAAGCUGAAGGUAACUGAGGGUACUGGACAUCCUGAUAAGGAUUUUCUCUCGUUAUCAUCAUAGUAAUUUGAAAGAAAGAACACAGCCCUCAACAGAAUUAUGGAGGGCAGUUUGAAAUGAAGCACUGAUAUCUGAAUAUGCA